AACCUGGUUGAUCCUGCCAGUAGUCAUACGCUCGUCUCAAGGAUUAAGCCAUGCAUGUCUAAGUAUAAAUACUUUUACUUUGAAACUGCGAACGGCUCAUUCUAUCAGUUAUAGUUUAUUUGAUAGUCCCUUACCACUUGGAUAACCGUAGUAAUUCUAGAGCUAAUACAUGCAUCAACGCCCAAUCGGGCCGCGUUUAUUAGAUAGAAACCCAUAUUUUUGGUGAAUCAUAAUAACUGUGCGAAUCGCAUGGGUUUACCCCGGCGAUGAAUCAAUCAAGUUUCUGCCCUAUCAGCUUUCGAUGGUAGGGUAUUGGCCUACCAUGGCGUUCUGGGCCGCACGCGCGCUACACUGAUACAUGCAGCGAGUUUAUAACCUUGAUCUAACGGUCUGGGUAAUCUUCAAACUGUAUCGUGUUAGGGAUCGAUUCUUGCAAUUUUUAAUCGUAAACGAGGAAUUCCUAGUAACGCAAGUCAUCAGCUUGCAUUGAUUACGUCCCUGCCCUUUGUACACACCGCCCGUCGACUCUACCGAUUGA
rnacentral:rRNA from 1 species